UGCAGGAUUAUGUAUAUAGUCUCCUGGCUCCCUAAACACUGGUACUACAAAGAGUAAGGAGCAACCAGUGUGCUCAGAGAGCAGCAGCAGCAGCAGCAGAGCUGGGAACAGCUCUGGCAGGACCUCAGGAGCAUUCUCAGAUCUAGAAGAAGACAAGUAGGCCCUUGUCCCAGCACAAACCUCAGUUCAAAGGACUGAUCAUUAGUUCUUUACUCCCCACUGCACUAAGGCACAGGAUUCAACCUUGCUCAAGGCAAAUGUAUGUUCCAACAGGUGUGACCUCAGAAAAGUCACCCAUGCCAGCCUUCAGCCUACUAGGGAUCCUUUGAUAAACAGAGCUGCCCAAUGAUCUGGAAUGUUCUUGUCCUUCCCCAACCUAAUCUGUUAGCUUGCUUUUGCUUUUAGGUUGAAAUGUGAACCCCCCCUCCCCCCCACUAUCUUACCUCUAACAAAAAUGUUAUUCUUAUUUCUGUUUACAU